rnacentral:lncRNA from 1 species
GGAGGAUGGGGGAGGCGUGUGGAACAGAACAGCUGUCCACCGGCGUUGGAGGCUCGGCCUCUCAUUUUGUUCGCGUAUCUGUCUCAGGCGGUGUUCCCGAAAGCAGACCCUGAGAUGAGAACGCAGGUAGAAGUGACUUAUUAGGGGGAGAUUCUUCAGCGAAUGUCUCCUCCUGGAAACACUGGGAGGAGAGUGGGGAAGCGGGGCGACGCAGUGAGCAGGCAACACCGAGCCCGAGGGCAAGUCCGGCUCCAUCCCGCCGGGGACAGCGCGUGUUCCACUACGGAGUGUCUCCGUCAGGGACAAAGCUGUCCUUGGUCAAGGUGGCCCCAAGAGGAUGCCCUGCACUCGGCAAAGUAGGCUUGGCAACCCGAGACCCGUCUUCAGGUGCCGGAGGUGCUGGGGCACGCAGACAGGCAGCCUUAUCCAACAGUACCAAAAAUCGGGAAAGAAGAACAAAACAAAGAACGGAGAAAAGGCUGGAUAGCUUUGCGGCAACAGAGCUCAGCCCACGCCCCCCCUCUCACCGCAGCCCACGUAUGGGACGGGCCUGCAGGAGGCAAGCCUGUCUGCUGUCCAAACGCCAGGCCGUCCUGUUCUCUGCAGAGGUGAAGACAGCCACGUGGCUGUGCGAAAGCAUCAGAGACACAGGGAACUCUUCUAAGCCCCGUGUCAGUAGGGCUCCCCCGGCCCUGCCGCAUGGAGGUGUGAGGCCUGUGGACCCCCACAUCCACAGUGAGGAGCCGGGUCCCCUGUCCUCCACAGGUGUCUGUGCGUUCUCAGCAUUUACUACCGGGCCCUCCCCCCUCCCCCCUCCCCAGACCCCCCAGACUCUGGGAUCCAGGGUGGUGCUCCAUUCACCCCUGGACAGCCCACAUGCACAGGCUCGGCCCUUUCACUGA